GCUUUCCUCCCAGUGUCUUCUGUGAAGACGGCAGGAUCCUAAGUCAUUAAUUUGAAGCUCGCUAACAACAGCACGAUGAAAGCCAUGGUCAUAUCUGCUGCCUCUGUCCAGAGCUCCAGCAGAGCCAACAUUAAAGCCACCAAUGCCAUCCAACAGCAAACUGUCGUGCUGCCAGCAUCCAGCCUGGCCAACACCAAACUCAUGCCAAAGACUGUGCACCUUGCCAACCCUAACCUUUUGCCUCAGGGUGCU
rnacentral:lncRNA from 1 species